GGCGAGAUGGCCGAGCGGUCUAAGGCGCCAGACUAAGGAAGUGGUGAUUGGCUGAUCAUCAUACGACCAAAUCAGUUUCUGAUUAAGUAAUCUGGUCUUUCGGGGCGUGGGUUCGAAUCCCACUCUCGUCA